CGAUGAUGAUGGUCAGCCAGAGUAUUGAUAACCUGGAAUAAUAAUAGUUGAAAUAAUGAAAAGGUCAAUGACACUGACAAUAUUUCACUCAGAAAGAAUCAUCCUUAGAAACCGUCAACCUCCUCCAAAAGGUAACCACAUCCCUCAGAUAUCACCGUGGGAUUCCACUGCUACAAAAAAGAACAGAAGUUAGAAGUCACAUGUUUUUCAGAUGGCUGGUAGUGUUUUUAAGCAUUGCAAAUGUGGGGUGUUGUGUUGUCUUUCUUGGUAUAAAGCAGGGAUAUCCAAUCUUUUGACUUCCCUGCCUAUAUUAAAAGAAGCAAAGUUGUCUCCCAGGUUGGAAUGCACUAUUGCGGUCUCGGCUCACUGAAACCUCCCCCUACCAGGUUCAAGAGAUUCUCCUGCUUUAAGUCCCAAGUAGCUGGGACUAUAGGCGCGUGCCACCACACCCAACUAAUUUUU
rnacentral:lncRNA from 1 species